GAAAAUGCCCAAAGUGAAAUUUAAUGUGCUGUGGAUUAAACCGUACGCAGAACUUCAAAUUGAAGGUGAAAAUGUGUUCUGCACGGCAUGUUCAAAAAUUGUAAGUAACUUUUAAUGAAACAAAAGUUGGCAUUUCGUUUAUUUUUAAUUCGCGUAUUUAUUAAACAUAUAUCAUUCUAAAUAUUUAUUCAAUUUCUCCUUGCUUCAGAUUAACAUCGAUACAAAAUUUCACGUGCAUCAGCAUGUCAAAACAGCCAAACAUACUGCAAAUAUAAAAA
rnacentral:lncRNA from 1 species